UACAGAGGGGGCAAGCGUUGUUCGGAAUUACUGGGCGUAAAGGGCGCGUAGGCGCCUUCUAAGUCGAACGUGAAAUCCCCGGGCUCAACCCGGGAACUGCGUCCGAUACUGGAAGGCUUGAAUCCGGGAGAGGGAUGCGGAAUUCCAGGUGUAGCGGUGAAAUGCGUAGAUAUCUGGAGGAACACCGGUGGCGAAAGGCGGCAUCCUGGGACCGGCAUUGACGCUGAUGAGCGAAAGCUGAGGGGAGCAACGGGG
rnacentral:rRNA from 1 species